AAAAAAGGCAAGGCGAGGAGGGAAUUAUCGGGGCAGUAACUGUGUAAAACCGUCGAAAAGGCAUGUCAGUAGCUCAGGAUACUUCAUGGCAUAAACUGGGUUUCGGCAGUCUAAAAUCACACACAUUCUUGAUGUCCAAGCAAAAGUAUGGAGGGCAGAUAGUGAAGUAGGUCAUGUCUCAUCGUAUCUGUGAAACAUAUCUGUGAAACGUGCCAGUGGCGGCAAAGAAACCAGACCGGCCAGUUUACUGGAGUGUCAGUGGUGAGAAGGGACUCAAGGAGCUUAUUGAAGAGGGCAAGCCUGUUGAGAUUUUAGAGGGUGAUGGAUAUAAUAAUAUAGAAAUUCCCGUGAAAAGGAACAUAAACCUUACUCUACAGAAACGUUUUGAUAAAAAUCAUGUCAAGAACAUGUUCAUAAUGAAGAACUCAGACUGUCAGCCCAGGCGGAGUUCUGCAAAAAUCGACCAUGAAAAUCAUGUUUAUAUUGUGUAUAUAAUAAUAAGUUUUAUGUUAUUAAUCACUAUUCAUUAAUGAAGCUAUUUUCCUUUUAACUGGUAUGAUUGAAUGAUUAAAUAUGAUAUAUGUCUUAAUUUUGAAUUGCUUUAUUUCCCCUGUUACAUGUUAAAGUCAUACUCAUUUUUAUCUAUUUUUGAACAUUUGAACUCCUCAAUAUGUUCACAUGUAAAAAGUCGCAAAUUUAGUAUGGUGUUUCUGGCAAAUGUGGGUACCUUUGAUUGUGAGGCAGGAACUUUUCAUUUUUACUGGUGACCCUUUUUAGUAGUUCAGGCUAAUGUAUAGUUUUAAUUAUUUUUUCAGAAUUUUUCGAUAAACCAAGUCAAGAAUAUUUCAUGAACCCUUUUUGAAUUCUUAGGAUUCAUGAAAAGUUCUUCAUUAGUUCUUAAAAAAGGCAAAAAUAUUUCAAUUAAAUUAAUUAAGAACUGAUACGUUUUGUAUUGUGUUGGUUGAUUAACUAAAAUAGAUAAUUUUUAGCAAGAAU